GACGGAGGAUGCAAGCGUUAUCCGGAAUUAUUGGGCGUAAAGCGUCCGCAGGUGGCUGUUCAAGUCUGCUGUCAAAGCGCAGAGCUUAACUCUGUACAGGCGGUGGAAACUGAAGAGCUAGAGUAUGGUAGGGGUAGAGGGACUUCCCGGUGUAGCGGUGAAAUGCGUAGAUAUCGGGAAGAACACCAGUGGCGAAAGCGCUCUACUGGGCCAUAACUGACACUGAGGGACGAAAGCUAGGGGAGCGAAAGGG
rnacentral:rRNA from 1 species